rnacentral:lncRNA from 1 species
AGUUUACCUUAAAGAGCAGCUGGUGCUUAAUGGAAAAUUUUGAGAAAGUUGUCGUUAUGAACCAAUUCAAUGGCUGGAGCAUUUCCUGCAAAGGCUCUUAUCUGGAGAAAGAGGAUUUCAGGAUGGGGUAAGAAGGUAUAUACUUCACUUUUAAGCAUUCAUCCUAAGAAGAUUUAGGAAACCAAGCAAAUCCAUGGCAAAUUGAAGGCAGAUAAUAAAUUUGAAGAUUUUCACCAGUGAAAUGUUUAAUGAUUUACCUUGUUAUUCAUAUUGUGAGUGUCGGCUCUAAGCACUGUUCCUUUCUCAACAAGGAGGCACUGAAGCAUUUUCUUACACCACGUCAUGAUGUUUGUAUGCUAUAUCCCCACUAUGGUAGUCACAGCUUGUUGAGUCAGAUUUACACCCGGAAGAAAAGUAACCAUUGAUAUCCUGGGUGGACUGGCUCUGGGUUCUGACCAACGACAGGUGCCCUUUAUUGUAUAAGGUCUGUCUAACAAAUCCUUUCACAGUGUCUGAGCAUAAGACAUCAACAGAGACUCGCAGAAAACACAAUGGCAAAGAAGCCAAGAUGCACAAAAAGCUCAUAGAAGCUGUGAAUGAGAAGAAACCUGGAGAUGCUGAGAAAAGCAGAGAGGCCAGUCAGAAGCAGCAGGAAAGAAAGAUGCUGAGCCAGAGAAGAGCUGAGUCCUGUGGGUGGGGCAGCCAAUGUCCUCUGGACAGGUGCUCCUGAGCUUCCAGGACUAUUGUCCCACAAUUAGAGCCCUUCAUGUCACCUAUGCAGUGUUCUGAUGCCAAUAAGCUGGCUGUUUGGCUGCUUAGAUUUUUUUUUCCUGCUCUUAUUUUCUGUGUCUCUAAAAAAACCAAAUUCAAAUUAACUGAGAUAACUUGUGUAGUCUCUUGCAAACCGAAGGAAACUGACACAUCUCACCGAGUGAGAUAGCAGCAUUGCUUCAUAGUUAAUAAUGAAAACAGACCAAGCACAGUGUCUCAUGCCUAUAAUCCUAGCACUUUGGGAGGCCAAGGCGGGAGCAUCACUUGAAGCCAAGAGUUCAAGACCAGUCUGGGCAACAUAGCAAGACCCCCUUCUCUACAAAAAAUUUUUUAAAAAAAUUAGCCAGAUGUGGUGGUGUGUGUCUAUAGUCCCAGCUUCUUAGGAGACUGAGGCAGGAGGAUCACUUGAGCCCAGGAGUUCAUGGGUGCAGUGAGCUAUGAUUACCCCAUUGCACUCCAGCCUGGGUGACAGAGUGAGACCUCAUCUCUAAUAAUAAUAAUAAACAGCUACCAUUUACUGAGCGCUCAUUAUGUGCCAGGUACUGUGACAAGAGUCGUAUGUACACGAUCUCAUUUAAACCCCAUGACAACAUUGCGAGACAGAUUCUUCCAUUAUCAUCAUUUUGCAUAUGAGGAGAGGGGGUCAGAGAAGUGAAAUAAUGUGCCCACAUUCACAGGGCUAGUCAAUGGCAUACUGGGGUCUGAAUCCAGGUCCACCAGGCUCUAGAACUGGCAUUCCUGACAAAUGUACCUGGCAGAGAUGGCUAGAUGCUCCCCUACAGUGGUGCUUCACCUUCCACAGAACACAGUUGUUGCUGGGAAGUCUCUACCUAGCUGGUCACUACAUUUCCCAACCCUCCUUGCUUCCAGGGGGAGCCAUGUGACUAGUUUUUGCCAGUGGGAUAUGCAUUUUGGUUUUGAGUGUCACCUGUGGGCUGAAAAUGCUUGCUUCACAACUUCCUCUUUUGCCAGCUCAAUGCCGAGACCACAAGGCUCCAGGGAACAACAGAAGCACAUUGUGGAAAAGUCCAGGUCUCUGAGUCACAACAGAAGAAAACUGCUGAACAAGAGCACCUGGAUUAUAUUAUCACAUGAGCUAGAAAUAAACUGGAAUUUGGGGGUCUAUUUGUUUCCGCAGUUUAACUAAUAAAGCUACACUGCCUCCCUUUCUUGCCUUGGGGGCUGAGAGCAGUAAAACAGGCUUACAGCUCAAAGCUCUGGGGCUCUGGUAGGUUACUCAAUGAGUUGCUGAAACAUUGUGGAAACUACCUCAGCUUGCACUGUUUUCCCAAACCAAGAGUAGCUCCCUGUUUUUAUUCAGCAUAACAGAAAAACCAGGCAUCAUAAACACAGAGUAUGUUUGUAAACACAUUAUACUCAUGCCUUCGCCAAAUCCUUGAAAACUCACGAGAAAAAAAUCAACAGAGCACUGAGCGUCGUAGCACCUCUCAUCUGUUAGAAGCCUCCUCCAUUCUAGUCCGAUUUAUAUUUAGACGUUAUUUCCUAUUUUACACCCCCGCCUGCCGAAUCGCAGCCACCUUUGGUGUGAAACAUGGCACCUGCUUAAUGGGCGCACAAGAGAUGACACAGCUGUUUUCAAUAGUAAGCGAAAGAGUAACACACCUGGGAAAAGGCAGAAUGACUGGAAAGGAGAAAAGCUGGGAAUUUGGAAAGUUUGCCUAUACUGCCACGUUGCUCAGUUGUGGCCUAUGUCAAUGAUGUGGGCAACUGGGAUUGAUCCUACCAGGACUCUCAAAGGACACAGAGUGCGUCUCAGAGUUAUCUGCCUGCAGAAGAGGAGAAAACAUUUACCCAUUAACUUUCAUCCUCUUUUGGCCAAGGGUUGCCCUGUAGGGUGUUAAGACCCUUCUACUUCCAGGUUGCACAUUCCUGAAGGCUGGCCAGCAGGUAUAUUACGCUCAGGUGUCAAAGAGGCCCCCAUUAACCAAAAAAAGGAUAUGAGGUGGGUCAGCAGUAGUGUCUGAUACAGGCCUCAAUGCUGAAAAAUGCAGGUGAGAUUUAAAUUACCUUCUAAUGCUGACAUACAAUGUCACUGCCCACACACCACUCCUCACCUGGCUGGGUAAAGACACAGGCUCGGGAAAUGGGAGCUUUGCCUCUAGUUUUGGAAUUUCUGCUGCUGGUUACUUGACUUAAGCAAACCAUUUAAUAUCUGGGCAUCUUACCUCUAAAAUAGGGACAUUAGGCUAAUUCAUUAUUUCCCAAAAUAUGUUCAAUGGUACACUAAUGUUACAGAAUGUUAAUUAACAGGUAUACCUGGGAAGAAGGGGUUUUGUGGCCAAAUAACAUGGGUAUAUGGAGCUAAAAAUAAGUUAUACCAAUUUCUUCCCUGAAGGAUAUCUCAGUCUUCUUAAUAUAUAACUGCACAAAAUCCUUUAUUUGAGAAACAUCUCACAGAAGUAGGUUGUUUUUUAUGUUAAUAUUUAUUGAGCACAUACUAUUUGCCAGGCAUCAUGCUAAGAACAUUUCAUGUACUAGUUUUUUUAUUUAUGUAUUUUAAAAAUAUUUGUUAAACUCUGCUAUGUACACCACAUUGUUCCUGGCACUGGAGAUACCUCCAUGAAAAAGGUAAAAUUCCUGAUUUUUACCUUGAGGGUGAGGUAGAGGGAAGACAGACAAUAAACAAGUAAACAAAUACAUAAACAAAAAAUUGGCAUACAUUAUCUUAUUCUCACAACAACUAGCAAGACAGGGACUGUUUUAUCAUGCUUAUUUAUAAAUAAUGAAACUAAGGAUCAGAGAGGGUACCUUAUUUAAAAAUCAGGGAGGUGGAAAUGCCAGAGCUAGGACAAUAUCUGCAUUGAAGUCUACUUCACAAAUGUUUUUGACAUCGUGUUCAUGGAACUGGAUUAAUCGGUAUCCUGGGUCCAUUGCAUACCUUGUCAUUGAUCCAUCUAAAGCUAAUGCCCAUAACCAAUAUGGUUUCAAUCACUCUGAUCUAUGUCUCUUCCACCAUCCUGAAGGCUAGUACUCUGCAUAAAACCAGUUUGAGAAACAAUGCCCUAGAGAGUCUGGAGAAAGGACCUCUGGGUCUAAUAGGACAAGCAGUCGCAAAAGAUUUCAACCAUACACAGGGUGGACAAUCGGAACUCAAAUGAUUGAGAGGUGAUGGAGUUGCAAAGUACUGCAUAAUGUCUUGUAAAUUAUGCCUGUCAACAAUUCUGAAUAGUCUUACAUUAUUAUUGUCUUCUUACCAUAACAAUUAAAUUUUUU